UCUAUGGGAAGGUAAUGUCUCUUUUGGGGGAAAAAUUGUUUGCCAUCGACAUCUAAAUCUUGUUUCCCCUUAUCACUUCCAUCUUCAGAUACUUUGCGGGGUAAUAUAGUCAUAUGGUCUAUUUGCCUGGAUUCUCCGAGGGACGCGGUUCCCCGAUCUUCUCCACGCCCCUUCUGUGGUUUCCCUGCUGACAAUUCGGACAUUUCGGAGUGAUCGUGUUGGGCUUACCACACCUGUAACAAAAUAAUGCCCUCUCAGAAGACGGGCAAUCCAUAAAAACAUGACCUCCCUCACGGCAAUUCCAGCAUACUAACUGCCUGGUUUGUUGUUGCUGGUUAAAGCGAAUAGCAGCCACUUCUUCUACAUCCGGCUGAAAAUCUGUCUCCAAUCUACCAUAUUCGCCAACAUACAUUUCAUUUACGUGUCUAGCGGGGCGCGAAUUCAUUUGGAUUGGCCUUUGUUCUCUACGUGGAAAGUUACGUUCUGCCUCCUUACACUCUGUUCGAAGCAUCUCGACCGUAGAAAUAGACAUGGGCUGGGCCAUAUUAUGAAAAUAAACGUCUAUUGGCUCAUUUACCACCUGCUUCCUGUCGACUAACUCUCUCAUUGCUUCGAAAGUGGAUUUAGUUGUCCUAUAUUGACACAUUAAUGCCUCUCUUAAAUGGGACCAGCUGGAAAAAUUCUUCAGCCUCUGAGCAUACCAAAACCACUCCAAAGCUGGACCGGAAACUAACAAUCUAAAAUCCCGUAGAACUUCCUCCCAAGGUAUACCAUACUGGGUCUGCAAACAUUCUAACCGGAAGAUAAAUUCCUCAACAGUCAAUCGUUAAUUCGGAAAAGAAUUGUUACUAUUGGCGGAAGGCAUCGUAAAUCUAGGCCUAUUAGUGGACGAGGUACUGGACGCGUCAUUUCGUGUGUCAACUCCAGUAUUACCACCGACAGAUGAAUUGUCAUUGGCUUCGGUCCUCUGUAACGCCAUAGCCGGGGCCCUAUCUUGAAUCACCAUGUUGGACAAGUCCCUCACUGUUCUGGCUAGUGACUCCACGGUCCUCCUGACAUCACGCAACUCAUUGCCUAUCAUAGCCUUCAUAGUUUCCUCGAAAGACCGAUUUGCUGGCAUUAAACCUGCUGCUUCAGCGUUUGAAGUAUUAUUUGGCCCCUGUUGCAUUGCCUCACUAGUGGAAGGUGGGACAGGGACACCGUUUGAUGGACCGGGUCGAGAUAUAAUACUGCCAGACAAAUCCCGAAUCUGACCGUUGCCUAUAUCCGUUGGAUUCCCUGAAUUAAUCA